rnacentral:rRNA from 1 species
ACGAACGCUGGCGGCGUGCCUAAUACAUGCAAGUUGAGCGCUGAAGGUUGGUACUUGUACCAACUGGAUGAGCAGCGAACGGGUGAGUAACGCGUGGGGAAUCUGCCUUUGAGUGGGGGACAACAUUUGGAAACGAAUGCUAAUACCGCAUAAAAACUUUAAACACAAGUUUUAAGUUUGAAAGAUGCAAUUGCAUCACUCAAAGAUGAUCCCGCGUUGUAUUAGCUAGUUGGUGAGGUAAAGGCUCACCAAGGCGAUGAUACAUAGCCGACCUGAGAGGGUGAUCGGCCACAUUGGGACUGAGACACGGCCCAAACUCCUACGGGAGGCAGCAGUAGGGAAUCUUCGGCAAUGGACGAAAGUCUGACCGAGCAACGCCGCGUGAGUGAAGAAGGUUUUCGGAUCGUAAAACUCUGUUGGUAGAGAAGAACGUUGGUGAGAGUGGAAAGCUCAUCAAGUGACGGUAACUACCCAGAAAGGGACGGCUAACUACGUG